CCUACGAGUGGCAGCAGUGAGGAAUAUUGGUCAAUGGGCGAGAGCCUGAACCAGCCAAGUCGCGUGAAGGAUGACGGCCCUACGGGUUGUAACCUUCUUUUGUCAGGGAGCAAUUGGGUCCACGCGUGGGCUUAGCGAGAGUACCUGAAGAAAAAGCAUCGGCUAAAUCCGUGCCAGCAGCCGCGGUAAUACGGAGGAUGCGAGCUUUAUCCGGAUUUAUUGGGGUUAAAGGGUGCGUGGGCGGAAUAUCAAGUCAGCGGUAAAAAGUCGGGGCUCAACCCCGUCGUGCCGUUGAAACUGAUGUUCUUGAGUGGGCGUGAAGUAUGAGGAAUGCGUGGUGUAGCGGUGAAAGGCAGAGAUAUCACGCAGAACUCCGAUUGCGAAGGCAGCAUACCGGCGCCCAACUGACGCUGAAGCACGAAAGCGUGGGUAUCGAACAGGAUUAGAUACCCCGGUAGUC
rnacentral:rRNA from 1 species